rnacentral:rRNA from 1 species
UUGAUCCUGGCUCAGAAUCAACGCUGGCGGCGUGCCUAACACAUGCAAGUCGAACGCGAAAGUGGAGCAAUCCAUGAGUAGAGUGGCAAACGGGUGAGUUACACGUGGGUGACCUGCCUUCGAGUGGGGGAUAACGUCCCGAAAGGGACUCUAAUACCGCAUAACAUGCUGUCUUUUAAGAGAUGGACAUCAAAGCUGGUGACCGCAAGGCCUGGCGCUUGAAGAGGGGCCCGCGCCUGAUUAGCUAGUUGGUGGGGUAAUGGCUCACCAAGGCAACGAUCAGUAUCCGGCCUGAGAGGUCGGACGGACACACUGGGACUGAGACACGGCCCAGACUCCUACGGGAGGCUGCAGUGGGGAAUUGUUCGCAAUGGGCGCAAGCCUGACGACGCAACGCCGUGUGGAGGAUGAAGACCUUCGGGUCGUAAACUCCUUUCGGUCGAGACGAAUGGCCUCCGGGUGAACAAUCCGGAGGAAUGACGGUACCGAGAGAAGAAGCUCCGGCUAACUCCGUGCCAGCAGCCGCGGUAAUAAGGU